GAUGAACGCUGGCGGCGUGCCUAACACAUGCAAGUCGAGCGGAUCGGGGGACGGGGGAGUAAUGCCAGGGAAUCUGCCUGGUACUGGGGGAUAAGGUCAGGAAACGGGCGCGAAUACCGCAUACUCUCAGCUUAGCCUAGGUCGGAUUAGCUAGUGGGGGGGGGAAAGGCCUAACAAGGCGACGAUCCGUAGCUGGUCUGAGAGGAUGAUCAGUCAGACUGGAACUGAGACACGGUCCAGACUCCUACGGGAGGCAGCAGUGGGGAAUAUUGGACAAUGGGCGAAAGCCUGAUGCAGCCAUGCCGCGUGUGUGAAGAAGGUCUUCGGGUUGUAAAGCACUUUAAGUUGGGAGGCGUUACCAGCAGAAUAAGCACCGGCUAACUUCGUGCCAGCCGCCGCGGUAAUAC
rnacentral:rRNA from 1 species